UUUUUUAAAAAGAAAAAGAUAAGAAAAAAAAGGAAAGAAAAUUUAAAAAAUUAAAGUUGAAAGACUAAAGAAAGCCAUGAAUUCUCCGUGCUGUAUUCCCCUAGCGCUGGAGUUCUGCAGUUCUCACUGAUGGUAAACUUGGUCUGGGCUGGACAUUCUUGCUGAUCUUGCAGGGGAGGGGCCUGCUGCAGUGAGUCUCAGGUGUCUUGGCCCAGGCGGAACCGCACGGCCCUUGCCAGGGGCCAGGCUAAGGAAUCCGCUCCGGUUUGCUCUCUGUAGCUUUUGUUCCCUGAAGGCUUUCCAUAGAGCCUUAGAGGAUGAGAAUGAAGAUGGCGGCCUCCCAGUCUCUGGCCCCAGAGUCGAGAGCUCGGCGCCCCCCUCCUCAGUGAGCCCUCAGAGGAAAGCAGUCAGUCACUCCUGUCUCCCUGGUCUCUGUCCACACUCCGUGCUCACCUGGCCCGUGACCAAGCGUUUCUAUCUCUGGUGCGUGACCCCGUUUGGAGUCUCCAAACCCAGCAAAUUCCUGUGGUGGGCCCCCGCCCCGCUCCUCCCGGAUCUGCCGCUUGUUGGGCCCCUGCUCAGAGCUGUGGCCCGACUGUGCCGCGGAUCGCGGGUUAUGGCCACCCCGAGCUGAGAGCCCACUCCUCGGCUUUGCAGCCGGCUUCCCCGCUCCGAUACCUGGGAGCUCUGCGCACUCAGGCACCCGCAGUCUUUCUGUGACCCCGCGGGUCCUGAGACCACGCUGUCCCUGCGAGGGUUCCACCCCCUGCUUAGCUGCUAGAGUGAUGUCCCUCACCAGAGCGGACUUCCACAAGUUCCGAUUUUGUGCUCCGCGGCUCCAUCGCUUGCGGGCAGCCGGCUGACGGAGGCUUCCUCCCCCCAGGUCUGUCUUCCUAUAUAUCACCUCAGAUUCACUUCUGCUCAAGUCCUGCCUUCCAGAAAGUGGUGGCUUUUCUAUUUGUAGAGUUGCUGCUAUUCUUUUCUUCGAUCUCCGGGUUGAGUUCAUAGGUGUUCAGAAUGGUCUGAUAGCUACCCAGCCGAAUUCCUGGAACCAGAUGAAAUUAAGGUCUUCACUCCUCUGCCGUCUUGGACUCUCCCUUGGUUUUUUUUGUGUGUGUAUUUGUGUGUGUAUUUGUGUGUUUUUGUUUUUUUCUUAGAACAUUUUGUAAGGCGUCUCUAGAUUGAGCUUUUAAUAGCAUCUCAAGGCCAAAGCCAAACCAAAUACUUGCCAUCAGACUUUGCCUGCAAUACCUAUAGAUUUGGGUGAAUUACUCUCUUCUCAAGGUCUUCAACAUAUCCUGAAGUUCCUGCACCUGCCAGGAAGUGAUCUUCUUUAUUCACCAGACUUCCCGCUAGGCCAACAGUGUUACAAAAGAAGACGACUUGAGUAAGGAAGCAUGCGACGUAUCAGGGUUCAACUGGUUCCAGUUUCUCAAGAUGCAUCCCAGGGUAGUGCCGGAUGGAACUGAAGAUUUAGAGGAAAGAAAGAGUCUCCUGGACUAGAGACGUUCCUGCUGAACCCCAAGAGCAUUGCUUUGGGUAGUCUGGGCCCAGGGACAUCUCCUGGAACCAUCAAACUAUCAUCCCUGGUGCAGGAGGGCAUCCCCAACCUGUCCACCUCUUCAGCCUCGUGUGCCUCCUGAAGACAGAACCCCUGCCCAUCCUUCCCGUCAGUCCACUUUUGUAGAGUUCGGUGCAUUUGGCUGGACCCAGAACCCCCAGGGCGGGAAGGAGGAAGCACAAGAGCGUCUUCAUUUUAAGAUAUCUGUGUAGAAACCCACUGAGAAGCUGAGCGACAUCCUCUCCUGGUCCGCCUUCCCUGGAGCCGCUCCAGCCCCAGCCCUUGGGCAUUUACUGCCUUUCCAGCAGGUCCACGGGUCAUCCAGAAGACUGGGGACAAGGAAGAGUUCGGAAGGCUGUGAUGCUGGCAUUGUUCCAUUGACAACGUGUCUUAGGGUUACAAAUAUUCACCUUCAAGGAGGAGCAACACAUGAACUGUUGGCUGUCAGGCAACUUUAGUGACUCUUCAGGGCUGCGCAAACGCAUUCUGAGCUCAAGGCGACCCAAGUGCUGCGAGCAGAAAGCAACAAGGUCCACAGUGGGGCCUGGGCAAUGUUUUACUGCCUGGUUUCUGUUUGAGAGUGUCUUCAGUCCUGGGAAGAGUUUUCUGUGGCCGGCUCUGGCUGUUCCAUCAAACACCACAAGGAUUCCUUCUCCGAGGGCAAAUUCAAAAGAACGCGGCAUCUGCCCUUAAUUAUGGUUAAUGGUACUGGGAGCACAUCUAAUGUGCUCCAACAUGGACAGGCUGGGGAAGGAGUUAGGACCAGUGGA